CAUACUUGACUGGUACUUUUGUUUUAUCGAUCCCGGAAAGAUGAAAAGGCGGCGUUAACUCCGGUGAGAUUUGAACCCAGAAUGCAAAGAACCAUAACAGAAUACCACAAGGUAUUUUAUCCGACUCUUUAACAAUUCUGCCAAUCUACCACCAAAUAUAUUGGUAAAUGUAUAAGCAAAUUACGUAACCUUUUUGUAAUUUUUUUUAACUAUUAUAAUUGUUAUCUAUAUUGCACUAAGGUUGAACGCAGUGGAUGGCUGUUAAAUAGAACAACGAUAUUUAGUUUAUCUCUUUAUGUUCUGAGUUCAAAUCUUGCCGAAGGUAAACUUUCAUCGUUCUGGGUUUGAUAAAAUAAGCACCAGUAUAGUCUUGUAUGUUCUCGUACCAUUCUUAGAAGUAAUCGAUACUGCUUUUAAAGUGAUUGAUAGUAGAGUCAGUAGAAUGCCUCACAAAUAGUAUUCUGGUAUUAAGUGGCAUGCGGUUCUUCGCUUUUUAAGAAGUUAACAUUGAGCUUCUUCUACACAGUCGCUUGGUGUGUUAGAAAUAGCAGCUAAAUCUUCCACGAAUCGCAAUAUACUACAGUACCAAGACAUGGGUGCAUUGGUGACCCGUCUGACAAUUCAACUCCAUCUUCUGCAGAUCUAAAUUUUGCAUCUUUACUCUUGUUAUCCCUCGUAUGCUAUCAAGCCUUCCUCUUGGCCUACAUUAUCUAACGUGGUCUUUCCUGCUUUUAAAACGCUCGAGUGUGAUCUGAGGUAGAUUUGGUUGUCUUAUUUACCUUUGGUUUGUCUCUAACGAUGUUGUUGUUGUUGUUCGCUCCAAAGUCAGUUUCUCUCUUUUUAAAGAUAAUAGGGUGAGAUUGAAUGGGACUUUUUUCAUUAUUUGUAGCAGGUCUCUCUGCGUGGCACCUUGUGCCAGUGUCUUCUACCAUAGCUAUAGGCCAAAGCGUUAGUCGAGUACAAAGCGCGAAGCGUAAUAUGAAAUUAAAUAAAAGUCAAAGAAACAGGAAAUUAUGCGAUAAACUUGACUAGCUUACAGCUGUUUCUGCUAUUAGAUGCAUCUUGUUUAAUUAUAUGUGAGUGUGUGUACACACACACACAUACGUACAUAAAUAAAUACACACAUAUAUAUAUAUAUAUAUAUAUAUAUGCAUGUAGAUAUGUAUUUAUGUAUGUUAGUGUUUGCCCACACAAUCGCUUGACUACCAGUGUUGGUUUGUUUACAUCCCGGUAAUUUAGCAGUUCGGUAAAAGAAACCGAUAGGAGAUUACCAUAUAUUUUUUAAUUGGGGUGCUGGGAUCGUCUUAUUCGAUUAAAACUCUUCAAGGCGCUGCUCCAGCGUAGUCACCGCCCAAUGACUGAAACAAAUAAAAAAAAAAAAGAAAGAUAUUCUUUUACCUAUUUCAGUCAGGCAUUGGACAGCAGUAGCCACGCACAGAAAGAUACGAGCGUGUACAACAGACUUCUGUACAAUCUCCGUCAACCUAAUUCAUUGACAAAUUAUUGGUUGAUAAGCGGCUACAAAAAAAAAAAGAUACCUACCUAAAGUGUCGACACACAACAGGACUGAAACCGAAACCAUGUGGUUGAGAAGCAAACGUCUUAAGCACACAGCCUUACCUGCGCCUCUACUUAUUUAUGGCCAAAAAUGGGAAUCUAUAACGUAAUCUUCUGAUCUACUUGUAAAUAAUAGUCAAGCCUCAGUCAAAUUAUUCGCUACGUCUUAAAAUAGGAAAGACACAUUUCAUAAUAGGAACGUACAAAGCUGGCUGGGUUCUUAAGCUUCAUUUUGGUUUCUUGGUGUUGUUUACUUUUAUAAGGUUGUUUAAGAGGUAUGUAUGCGUGCAAUUCACUUUGGGUAAACUAUAUUUAUAAGCUCCGAAUGAUGCUGUCCAUAAUACGAUAAAUGAAAUUAAGACGGAGUAUUUACGAUUGAAAUGCUUUCAAUCAAAGCUCUUCUCUGCUAUGUUUGAUCUGAGACUAAACAACUAAAAUAACAGAUAAAAAUUAAUCAUGUGCAGUGGUCUCUAUCUCUACUAAUCUACAAUUGUGCGGUCUUCUGCUAAUCUUAGAAAUCAAGUCACUGAGAGAAUAACUUAAGUGAUCACUCGUCUCAUUAGAAAUAGCAGUUAAAUCUCUCUCAAAUCACACACUAUCGUAUUAAUGAAAAAAAGGAUGCACUGGACAACGCACUGAAAAGCCUGAAAGAUAUUGACUGAAAAUAAAUAUGUUUGGAACAAUGACAGGAUGGUCAUGUCCGGAACACUUUUGCUCAUAGAUCUAUUCGUUCGUGGUUAACAUUAGGCUUAACACAAACAGUAAAUAUUUUUCAAUAAAGAUGCCUAUUUGUAUAAAUCUUUCUAGAAUAUUCGAUCCAUAGAUCAUGUGUAAACCACUAGUUACGUUUAACUCCAGGUUAGUUAUGAUUGAGAAGAUGAACGAUCAGAGAACUUACAGUCAAGAACAUUACUUCUUUUUGUUGAUGAAAAGACUAAUCUUUUUAAGGUGGUUGGCUCUCAUUUGAUGUAAUUUCCCCCCUAUUUUUGUUUUUAGUUUGGAGUGCGACAGUCUACAAGCUCGAAUGACAAUGAGUAUUUAUGCACUCUUGUUUCUGUAACUUCUUCUAGCGGUCCACAAGCUUGUUUAAUCCAUUGGAGAAGGUUUUCUGCUGGUCGCGCAGCCACUUAUGCACCGUUUCCUGCGCUUCUUCGUCCGUAGCAAAUCGUCGAUUUCGUAAAGGAUAUUUGAGCGGUCCAAAGAGAUGAUAGUCGAAAAGGGCGAAAUCUGGACAGUAUGCAAGGUUUCCAGCAACUCGAAACCCAAUUUUUUAAUGUUUCAACGGUAAGGGUGGCCGUAAGUGGGCGUGCAUUGUCAUGCAACAACACUUACAUUAACAAUAGACCUCGGCGUUUGGUGCGAAUUGCUAGUUUCCGUUUUUGACCAGCAUUUCACUGUAGCUUACACUGGUGACUGUAGGCUCCUUUUCCAAAUAAUGUUCAGAUAUAGACUCAUCUGCUUUAUGCAUUAUCAAGAGUACAUUUGAAACUCCUGAUAUAAUUAUUAUUGUUAUGAAGCACUUUUUGAAGUUGUUGUAUUAUGUCAAGAUUAUACCUUGUCUCAGCUUGUUUUUGCAUAUUGUUAAUGAAAUAUUCUUGCAAAAAUUUAUUGCCUUCAUUUUCUUGUGGUAAAAUGCUACCAAUUCGGUAGGAGAAUUGAAAAAUUCAGUUUCGACGUGAAUUGUCUUUCUGUGGGUGUGUCGAAGUUUUUCGUUCCCCUGUCAUGUUCUCUAUGUGUAUGCCGUGCGUCUCACUUCGCUGUCAGAUUCUCUGCCUACCUCACGGAAGUUUGUAUAUUUAUAUCUGAACCGACAAACAAGAACAAUACUGAAUCCAGGUCACUCAUUGCGCGAGUGGACUUGUGAUGGCACUGAAAGGACCACAGGUCAAGUGGAACACCUAUUUGUCACGGUUCUGUUUGACGUUUGAAUAGGCUGUAUGUCCAAGGAGAAUUGAAAGAUUCAGUUUCGAAUCUGAACCAGGAUGAGACUACUCCUACAGAUUUGCUGUCUUUACUUUCAUUCUGACGGACAAACAAACAAACAAACAGACAGAAAUUCAAUUAUAUAUAUAUAUAACACUUCGUGGCACGUAGGACCCAUCCAUCUCAUCCUAAUAUCUGAUUAGAUGGAGUCCUAUGGACGCACGAAACUAAGCCAAAUUGUUAUUUUAAAAAUAUAUGUAACCAAAUGUGUUGAGUGCUGCUAUUUUUCGAUUGUUCACUCUCUCGUUUAUAUAUACAUGUGUGUGUGUGUGUGUGUAUUUACAUAUAUACAUAUAAUAUAUACACAUACAUACAAAUGUGUAUGUGCGUAUAUAAAUACUAAGUACGUUAUGUAUGUAUGCAUACAUGCAUUUAUAUAUGCAUGUACUUUUCUCAUCUCCGAUCUAUUGUUUGAAAUAUAUAUAAGUAAGCAAAGUAAUGUAUUUCAUAAUUAUGACUGCGCUAACAUGGUUCAAAAGAAAAUGUUUGUAUAUAUUAAAUCAAUGUUUGAAAUUAGGCAUACAGGACAAAUUCAAUGUCUUCUCUUUAUUCUGUAUUCACAUUUAGAUUUGAUAUAUACAAAUGUAAAUAAACUAUACUUUGCAUUAAAAACAUACUGCCAAUUUGUUUGAUAGUUCCUCGACCAAUUUUUUGUAACAUCAACAUAUUUCGACUGAAAAAGAAAAAAUUAGCAUAUUCUUAAGUAGAAUAUAAACUAGUGGUAGGUAAUAAUAAAUGCCAUUCCUUGCUUUAGACCAUCUCCAGUUACUUCAUUUCAUACACAACUAAAACGUUUAGCAUGUACACGAUCUAAAUAGUGAGAAUAUCAGUUGUGCUUUUUCAAAGCCUUAAGCGGCGAAAUUGAACUGAAAUGAAAUUGGAUAAGUUUCCUAUAGAAAUUAACUUAGCUCUAGUCUCUGAAGAUUUGAAUUUGAUGCAGGCAAGGCCGUUUGGUUAUGAAAUCCGCUUCUCAACCACGUAGUAACUAAAGUGUGUCCCAUUGGACACACUUUAGAAAAGCAUCUUCUACCAUCAUCUCGGAUAGUCUAAAACCAUGUGAUAGACAGAUAAGGAGUAAAAUUGUCUAAAUUGGUGUGUUGAACAAACAAAGGUCCUUUUGGCUCUGCCCGAAGUUUAUACUCAGGUGUCGAGCCUUUCCUUCCUUACAAGAUCGGUAAAAUCUCGAAAAGAACGGAAAGCAAAGUAAUGCGAUCGAUAAAAUUGAAUGCGGUACCUGAGCAAAACUGCAGCCGAAAAUUGUUACCAGUCAAAUAAUUCUAAUAAAUGAUUCUAGAGAAAAACGAGACAGGAGCGUGAUAAACAGAGUGAAAGAGAUAAAUUAAGGUUUAAUUUUAUUUGGAGCAUACUGAAAUUUAUAUCCAUUGUUCAUUGAAAUAACGAUGUUUUGGAGUCUCUUCUGACGGAAAAUAAUCUAUAUCGCUGUUAAGAAAAGGGUGUAGCACCUCUGUCAAAUGAAAGACAGAAGGAAGUUUAUAAUACUGGAAAGAGAGGAGACAGUGUAAUACAGUAACAUAUGGAAAAUGGUUCAAUAGGGUCGUCAUCCUUGGAGUAUAAGACUACAUUCAGCAUUCGGUGAACAGCUUGAUAAAAGGGCGAAAUAAUAGGCGAUGAGGAGCAAGGAAUCAAGUUUAGCGAAGGUGGAAUGCAGGGAGCCAUUUCUGACGUGUAACUAACCAUUAAUUAUGUAGCAAAUUAAUACAAAAACAGAGAUGGUGAGGUGGCUAGCUGGCAAAAUCGUUAGCACGCUGGGUAAAUUGUUUAGCGGCAUUUCGUCUGUCGUUACAUUCUGAGUUCAGAUUCUACCGAGGUCGUCUUUGCCUUUCAUCCUUUCGGGGAUCGAUAAAUUAACAAUCAGCUGAGCACAUGGGUCAAUGUAAUCGAUUUACCCUCUCCUCAAAGUUGCUGGUCUUGUGUCAAAAUGUGAAACCAAAUUAAUAGAGAUGUAAUUAAGCCGCAUCAUUUUUUUUUCAGUUACUGUUUUCCAGAAUUCAGUUGAACCAAUGGUCAACCAAUGUUUAAGGGAGAAAAAGUGAUCGAAGUAAGAAGACACGUGACUUAUUAUUUUUACUUUUUUUUUAAUAUGCUGUGAUUAAUUCAUGCCUGCGUUUUUUUUUUUUUAUAUAUAGUAAAUAUCAUUUACGUAAAGUAUAAUUGUUUUGUAUUUAUUUUGUUUAUAUUUUUUCUAGAUAAAUCUUUUCAUUUUCUUUGCUGAAUUCUUCCAGGCUAUAAAAUGUAAUACUGUAUAUUUUGGUAUUGAUAGAACAAUUUCAAUUGAUAUAAUUAGUUUGUUUUUUUUCUCUCCAAGAUCAAUAAUCGUAGUUUACAUUCCAUUGCUGUUUUAGUGUCAUGUCCCUCCCGCCACUGUUGAUUUAUAAGAAUUGUGAAAUAAUUAACAGUCGUCUUUCUUUUAUAAUGAAAACAAAAGUAAAUAUUUUCUGAAGGGUUCUGCAAACAACUCAAUAUGUAUUGGUGGUAAAUCUAAAUAAUCGUACGACACAACACUAAUACCUGGCUCUAAACGUUUUUAACAGAGUCUACUUUGUUGUAAGAAUUUCGGACGUCUCCUGGCUGAGUAUAAACAGAUCAAUUCAAAUAUGAAAUAAAAGCAGCGCUAGUGUAAUAAACAUUAUCGACCACAUAUACUUAAUGCACAAGCCAAGUGUAUUUGCCGGUAGAUUGCGUCUGGCGUGGUGGAGAUAGCUCUCUCAAAGCGCCACGUGUUAAAACACCUGAGAGUCAUGGACAGGCGAGACAACUCAACCCUUCUCCCAUUCAAGAGUGAUUGACAUCAAUGUUUCGCCUUUUUUUGUGGUUUAUCAAUAUCAUGUACCAGAACCAAAUCGAAGGUGAAUCAUACCACCACUUCACGAUUUACAUGCAUGCUGUAUGAAAACUAUGUGCUGUUAGGCCCGAACAAUGCAUACGUAAAAAUAAAUUCAAAAGAUCAAUAUCUUCCUUUAGCAGCAAUCCAUGAAUCGUGGUCUUUACCUCCUUUUUGUUAUACUACUCUCGAUGACCAUGCAAAAGAUCAUGGUCGCCUAAGACUGCCUAAACAGUAUUAUAGCACCCCACCACAUUAUGCAUAGUUUAGCAUUGGGCCCCCAGACACAUAGAACCUCCAGAAAAUUACCCAAGAUGCCAACGCCUUAAGAUGAUACUGUGAACGUUGUAUGCACUAUAACUAAGCUAUGCAUUUUUAGAAAUAUACUUCAUUGCGCUAGGUUUAAAAUACAACUACGAAAUAAAAUAACGUAGCUUCUUAAGUGGUAAAAAGAAACAUUAAAUAGAUGCAGGUAUUCCUAAGAAGUCCGUUUAGUACCCGCAUGAUUCAAGGUUCGAUCACGCAGUAGUGUCUCUUCUAAGAUCGACCAAUAUCUAGUAUGUGAAAUUUGAAAGACGGGAACCUGUGUAGAAAUCAAUUGCAUACAUACAUACAUACAUACAUACAUACAUACAUACAUACAUACAUACAUACAUACAUGUGUUCACAGACACACAUACACACACACACACACACACACACAUGCACACACACACACACACACACACACACACACACACUCACACACACACACUUAAACACAAACAUAGCUCAGAAUUAGACUGAACCGCAUGAAAACAAAAUAUAUGCAAUCUGAAAACGUAGCACGCGGCCGAUUAGAGAUGGGAAGCGAUUAUAUCAAGUAAAGAAAACAGUACGUCUACUUAGGGCACACAAUGAAUAUGAAAUGAGACAUGGAUGCUGAAAUCUCAAAGACAAUACUGACACUCCAUCGGUUACGACAGCGAGGUUUCCAGUUGGUCCAUUCAACGGAACAGCCUGCCAGUGAAAUUAUCGUACAUGUGGUUGAGCACUCCAGAGACAUACGUACCGUUAACGUAAUUCUCAGGGAGAUUCAGCAUGACACAGAAUGUAACAAGGCUAGCCCUUUGAAAUAUAGGUACUACUUAUUUUUGUUAGCUGAGUGGACAGAAAUAACGUGAAAUAGAAUAUAUUACUCAGGGACACAGCGCAUCACCGUUUCCUGAACUCACUACCAGCCUAAAUCUCUCACAUUCUUUGCUGACUCUGCCUGUGCAAGUAGUGAAGUCUUCAUCUUCGCUCUUUUCUAUGUUUAAACAUUUUCAUCUAGAAUUAAAUGGUGAGCUCUUUUCACUAAACAUUUUGCAAGAAAUGUCAAAUGUGUCAGUGAAAUUUAUGUCGGACGCCUUUUUUUUAAUUUUUUUAUUUUGGCAAUAUGAAGUUACUAUACUUCUCAUGCUCUGCAGUCGCUAGUUUCUUAAAACUAGAUGCGUUUUCAUUUCGUCCGUCCCAUAUUCAUUUUCAAAACUUUGUUCAAACAUUCGAAAGUAAGCCUAGAAGGUUACUUCUUCCUCGGCGUCAUAUUUCAGUUCGCUUAUAAAAUUUGCUACAUGGUCAGGCGAAAAUGUAUUUUCCGGUUUGGUUAUCAAUUUCAUUAGUUGUGACAUUUGCUGCUGCAAUCCUUGUUUUUGUUCUCAUUAUUCCUCGAGCUGUUAUUGUGGCUGUUUUUGCAACUCAACUACCCCCAACUAACAAGUCUUCCAUAUUUUACGAUUUUCGCAAGUUUGCACAAGAUUUUUGUUUCUUUUUUUUUUUAGUUAUUUAAUUUUCCACAUGAAUUAUUUUAAACUCUCCGUGUGAAUUUCCAUUUUUCUUUUUCACUCCGUGUAAAUUAGUUUUUCCUUGUCGCGACUGUUGUAAAGUGGGUUCGUCCCAUUGGUGUGAUGUGUGUACUGUAGUUGCUGUUUUACGCUUGUAGCCACAACAGUUACUAGCCAUCGGAUACCGUUGCAUCUCUUCGUAUCGGAAUAGUAAUACACUAACUUUUUCUAUCUUAUUAUCGCUGAUAGCUCCACAAGACACUGACUAGAUCUGUCGACUCUCGAUUCUUCAACUCUUCGACCCUCUCUUGACGACCGGCUAUUGGUCUAUUUAUAGUGGUAGGAACCACUUUUUACCGGGAGAGAUGUACAGUUUUACUAUACAAUAAUAUCACUGACCCCAUAACCUAGCGCUUGAACAGAUAGAUUUCGAUAAACUACGAACUAGUCUAAUGACUGAAGCCAGUAAAAGAAUAGAAGAAUUUAUAUAAAUAAGUGCCUAACCUUUACUUUCUGUUUAUAGCUAAACUGCUUAAAUGUACCAGCUGAAUGCGUGGAAAUUCCACGGUUACUUAGGAAAUACUUAGUUUGUUGGAAGUUUAUAGGGAACCAUGAAAUACAGAAUUUCUUUUGAAGUUUCCUUUUCUUUUAUGAAGUGCUUGAUCCUUGGAUAUGUAAAAUCUAAAUUAAUAUUGAAGGUGCAUCUUUAGGAGAGAAUAUACUCUUUGCUAUCACCUGCCACCUUUUCUAGCGUGAGAAUUGCUAUCUGUUAUUUUUAACUUUACGUGAAGAAGAGAAUGUGCUCAAGAAAGAACGACAUGCAAGUAUCCAUGAGAAAAUACUGGUUCACUUUUCUCUUUUUCAUUACGAUUUUGUAAUAAAAUGACUGAAAAUUCGUUGAAAGAGUAAUGUAUGUAGCAAACACUUUAAACUAUCUUAAUUACGGAAUGAAUUGAAGACAUUCUGGUCUGUAGGGCAACAUUCGUAACGCUUUAAUAUGCAUAUGGCUGAGUUUGAACAAAGUACAGUAGUAGCCCUGUUGGGCUGUGAAUUCCAUCCAUUCAUCCAUCCAUCUCUCUUUUCCAGAGAGGAUCGUUGGGGUACAGUCCUUAGAUACUUCCUCCGUAGGGUUCUAUAAGGAGCAACCGACAUGAACUGUGAAUUCAGUAUAUAUGUGUGUGUGUGUGUGUGUGUGUGUGUGUGUGUGUGUGUGUGUGUGUGUGUGUGUGCGUAUGCGUGUGUAUGUAUAUAUAUAUAUAUCAGGAACAUGUAAGUAUCCAACAUAAUUUAAAAGAAUUAUUUUGCUGUCAAUACGAACAAUUGCAACAAUAUUAAUGUUGUUUUUAAAAUAAAUUGUGUCUACGAUGUUGUUCCAUACUUUAUCAGUCAUAGUUAAGCGUUACAUACAUAGACCGCGGUAGAACAUUAUCAUAGAAAUAUUCAAUAUCAUGUUUAUCUAUGUAAUUAACGUUCCUGCAAAUUUUGUAGACGUGAAUUAGUAGCUUGUUUUCUUAUUUUUCAGUUUUGCAUUCUUGCUGUAGAAAUCCAUCACUCCUAGGCUAAAAUCUGCAUAGUAUUUUGUUUAGACAGAAUACUUUCAGAGUUGCUUUUUUAUUUUUUCUGGUAGCUAAAAAUUAAGAACUAGGCAUGUGUUUAAGUUGAUUCAAUCCAUAAUGUCACACUCCUACAAAUGUACGAUUUUGUGCUUAUGAAAAAAUCAUUAUGGUUUUAAAUUCGCUCGCUUAUUCGAGAGCCGCAGCUGCCAACUAAAUGGUAAAUACUGACAUUAUAAAUUUGAACAGCACGAUAAUUAUAACUAAUUGUUAAUGAAUAUCGUUUUUAUUAAUUAACUUGUACCGAGGAGAAAUAAUCAUUGCUGAUAAUGAUUCAUUCAACUCAAAAAAGCCUUCUUUUUUUUUAAUGACUUACCGCACGAUAGCCACAAUUAAUUGAAAUUGGAAAUAGGCAACCUAAUGUAGUGUAAGAUGCGAUGAUCUUAAGCAAAUAUGAUAUAAAACUCGAGGCUUGUUUCAGUCUAAUUAGACAUCCUUAACGAAGCAGAGUCGUUCACGCGUCUGUCAGGUAAAUGAAAAGAGAAAUAUUUAUGCAUAGAUAAAGAAUGUGCAUACACUGGUGUGAGAAAACAACAUAAAAACUCGAGGGGUACUUACAAGAACACAUCCACAUAGAACAUAAUUAGUAAGAUUAAUAGGAUAUCAAGAUACCGAUCACCUUUCUAUUGUGUUCGUUGCCGAAUAUCAUAACCCUUAAAUGAUUUGAUCUUCCCAUCUGAUGAUGUAUAAUAAACGAGGAUAUCAGAUGGUUAUAAUACUGAAUUCAAAUCCACUUUAGAGUUUAAUUAAAGCAAAAUGUAUUAUACCUGAAUAGCUUAACCUUCAUAUAGUCUUCAUAAAGUCUUCAAGAGGUGCCUCUAAAAUCAAAUGGUUUUCAGAACUCACACACGUUUUAGUAAAAUCACGAGACUAUAUAAGGUUAGAUGCUUCAAUGCAUGUAAGUCGAUAGACGAUGCCAGGAAUCAGCUAGUAAAAAUCUCCAAAAUCUAAAAAGAGUUUUCGGCGGCGGCAUACGAUGAAGAUUUUGGAAACGAAGCCAACUAAAAACACUUUAUCAAAGAUAUAUUUUUGGUCAACAAUUUAAGGAAUGGUAACCAUUUGACAACGGUUAUUAUCUGUAUGUGUGUGUGUGUUUGUGUGCAGUCAGUGGGACACUGGUUACUAAAUCAAGAACAGUUUUUUAAUAAAGCAAUAGCUUCCGUUUUAAUGGGAUUAUUGUAAAAUAGAGACAAAAAUACUUUAAACUAUUUAGUCUAUGGUUUUAUCAUCUAUGGCCUUCCUGCUCUCUCUCUUUCACACACGCAUACAAAAUUCUUUCUCCUUCUCCCUCUCUCUCUCUCUCUCAUACACCCACUGGCUUUCUCUCUAUCUCUCUAUCUCUCUCUCUCUUUCACACACACACACACUUAUUGUGUCUAUAUCUCUUAUUCUCAGAAAUUCCACAAGUAUAAUCAGUACAAUUGUCUGACCUUUCAUAGUUAAGUAGGGGUGAACUUAAUGCAUUGAAAAAAUUCUAAUUAGAAAUACUACUGCUGUUGGCAAAACAGAACUUUGGCUGACUAACAGUGUUUUGAUCAUUUUAGUAAAUACAUACGAGAGACAACUCAACUAUGUUUUGGGAUUAUUAGACCUCUUCUAACGCGGCAUAAAUUACACUGUAGUUGGUGAAGCAGUGACUAAGCAAUCACGAAGUAGUUUUGCUCUGUUGCAACAUGAGUAGACGUCAAAAACUAACAUAUGUAUGUACACGUGUGUGUGUGUGUGUGUGUGUGUGUGUGUGUGUGUGUGUGUGUGUGUGUGUGUGUGUGUGUGUGUGUGUGUGUGUGUGUGUGUGUAAGUGUGUGUGUGUGUGUGUGUGUGUGUGUGUAUAGGAAGUUGAAUGUUAUGGCCGGUCAUAGGGCGACCAAUGGCUUCGCACCUCUAAAGCUCUUAGCAGUAUAGGCGAUUCAUCAAACUCAAAUGACCGAAGGCGCAUAACCUCUCUACAGGGCAGUUGUAGGGAGGUUAUGCGCUUUCGGCCAUUUCAGUCCGUCGAGUCGCCUAUACUGCUAAGCGUUUUAUAGGUGCGAAACCAAUGGUCACUCUAUGACCGGCCAUAACGUUUAACUUACUAAAAAUAUACUACUGCUCUAUUGCUUCAGAGUGUGCCUUUUCCGGAUAUAUGAACUACUGAUGAUACAAACACACACACACAUGCACACACAUAUAUAUAUAUAUUCAUACAUACAUACAUACAUACAUACAUACAUACAUACAUACAUACAUACAUACAUACAUACAUACAUACAUACAUACAUACAUACAUAGAACUAAAAUUAAUAACGUAGAUAUUCGAUCCGCAUGAUGAAGAAGAACAUAUGAUUGAUAUUGAAUGACAGUGAACGUAUUUAAUUGAGAACAAAAAGUCUAAUUAGAAAUACCUGAGCUAUCUUAUCAAGGUGGGUAUCAUCCUUUUGAUUCCAAAGAGUUACAGUUGUGUUCACACCGUCCGCAGAAGUAUUAGCAGAGUAGCAGAUUAUGUGAAACAGAUAUCACUGAGGUUUAUGCAUGGAUCAUAUGGCCUCUGUAUAUACUAUCUACAUUAAAAAGAAUUGUGAUUGCCUGAAUCAAUAUGAUACCUGAAAUAAAUACACUAAUUCAAUUAUAUUUUCAGUUAUACGUACAUACAAACAUAUCUACCUACUUACAUACAUACACACACACACACACAGGCAUAUAUGUAUAUCUUUUCUUUUAUCUUUUACUGGUUUCAGCCAAAAGCUGGGACCAUACUGGAACAUUGCCUGUCAUUGUUUCUGGGUCUCUUUUCUGUACCGUUUUUGAUGAUGUAGCGGAGCUUCUCUUCUUUGUACCUUUGUGCCUCCUGCUACACUUCACAAAUCUCUGAGGUUGUUUGGCAGGAUGUUAAACAGUUGUGGUCCCCUGAAACCCAAGCUGUUGCAAUAUUGGGUUCUUAUCUGAGAUGAAGAAGACGGGAUUUUUGGUAUAAUGCAGUACCAUCCAGUUCGGUGAUUGGUAUAGCUUUUAAUUUGAAAGUUAGGAGCUAGAACUUCAAGGAUCUUUCUGAUGUAUAUCACUACAUAUCUUUCUCGCCUUCUCUCCAGAGAGUAGAGCUUCAGUUCUUGUAGCCUCUCCCACUAGCUCAUCUGUUUCACUGAGUCAGUCUUCUUUGUGUAGUGGCGCUGGAUUGCCUCAAGUACAACCAGCAGACUGACGCUCUGCAGCGAACACAGUUGCGAGCAGUAAUCCAGGUGACUGAGAACAAAAGUCCUCCAUAGAGUAGCAAGGAAUCCUUAUUUCUGGUUCUGAAUCAUCUAAGAAUCCAUCCAGUUACUCACCUACACAAUGUGGCCAUCUUGUUAAUAUGCUCAUGAAAUGUUGCAUCAUUACUCAUGCGGAUUCCCACACGCAUAAUACAUAUGUAUGUAGAUAUAGGUAAAGGUAUGUGCAUGUGCAUAACACACAUCUUAGGUUGCCUUUCAUGUUAAGUAUAUAAAAUGGUGGAUAACAAACGUGGAAGGAAGUGAGAUGAUUGAGAUUUUAAAAAAAUUGUAGUCGUUACUAAUCGACAUUACAUAGAAAAGUAAUCUUAAAAAAGCAUUUGAUGAAUGACCUGAAUAGGUAUGCUUGUGAAUAUGACGCCAGGUAAACUCUUGAAAUUGGCCCGAUAUUUAUUUUAGAUGAAACGAUGUCUCUUGUAUUCUAUUCGUAUAUAAACUUGCAUCAUUCGUACCAACAAAAUGAAGACUGUAGUUUUACAUCACCAUUUAAUGCUUCGGUCAUUGUUUUCCUUUCAUUUCGUUAUUUGGAAUUAUAUCUACGAAACCGAGAUAUCGCCCUAACCGGCAGAAAUCGUUAGGACGCCGGACAAAAUGGUUAGUAGCAUUUGUUCUGACUUUACGUUCUUAAUUCAAAUGUCGCAGAGGUUGACUUUAUCUUUGAACCUUUCGGGGUCUAUAAAACAAGUACCAGUGGAACAGUGGGGCCGAUGCACAAAAUUUCAGGUCUUAUACUUAUAACAGAAAGGAUUAUUAUAGUGACAAGCAUGACCGGUGGAAAUUUUAGUUUACUUUGAUCUUAAAUUUAUAUAGCUUCAUAACAUUGUUUCUUUAAUCUUUUAAUAUUUAUGAACUUGAUAAUGGAUUGAAGUUUGAAAACCAUACCCUUUUUCAUUCUGAUGUCAUUAUCGUAGGUGACUCAAAUCGUAUGUUGGUCAUCUUGCUUGAAUAUUUCUCUAAUAAAGGAAUGGUUCUUUUCUGGUCGUAUUCGGUUCUUUUCUCGAAGUUCUUUCCCAUAGUCUACCUCUGCAGUUCUUUAUUCAUUUUAUUACAUUGCACUUCUCUCUCUCUCUCUCUCUCUCUCUCUCUCUCUCUCUCUCUCUCUCUCUUUCUCUAUCUCUCUCUUUCUCAAUCUCUCUCUCUCUCUCUCAGUCUAUCUAUCUCUAUCUCUCUCUCUCUCCCCCUCUCUCUCUCUCCCUCUCUCUCUCCCUCUCUCUCUCCCUCUCCCUCUCCCAUUCCAUAUAAUCAGCUCUCUGCUCACUGAUCACAUUCUCACUUCACAUAUGCUGUUAGUUUUGUUUCAAGCUUUCUUUUAGUUUCUGUGUAUGUGUGUGUGUGUGUGUGUGUGUGUGUGUGUGUGUGUGUGUGUGUGUGUGUGUGUGUGUGUGUGUGUGUGUGUGUGUAAAAGUAUGUGUGUGUUGUGCGCGCCUAUGUGUGUAUGUCACGUAUUUGAUCGACCUCGGGGGAUUACAACAAGGUCGAUACCGGUAGAAUUUGUACACGGAGAGAUGAAACUAAAUAGAAUUAAAUAUUUACACCAGUCCUCAACUGUUACUGACUUGAACCAUAGAGGUAGACUCAACGCAUUCACUAGACAUGCAAGGAAUAGUAGUCAGUUCCCUCUAUCAGAUCACACCCUGCCACCAUGGAAAAGAAAUUGAAGGACACGUUGUGUAAUUUCUGGACUGAAUAAUUCCAUGUAGGAAUGCCUUUCAGCAUGGUUUCUUCACUUAAUGCAAACCCAGGGUUAAACAACAGCAACAACAAUAUCAACAACAAAUAUUCAUUAUCUUUAUCUUGACAACUUUCCAUCCAGAUGGUAUACUUUCGUCACACAAUAUUUACAGUGCUAAUGAGAUGCAUCAUACGUGCAUGUGUGAGUGCCUGUAAAUGUGUGUGAAAGUGUGGAUGAGCAUGUGUGUGCAUGUGUGUGUGUGAGUGUGUGUGUAAAGUUUACAGGCUGAUUUUGACACACACGCACACAUAUACACACGCACACAUACACACACGCACACACACACGCACACACACACACGCACACACACACACGCCACAUACAACUAACCAGUCAGGUGUUCAUUUUUCUUUGCGGAUAGUACGUCUUGCCUGUGUGUCUAUUUUAACAUUUUACCAUUAGGAGAUCGGCUGCCAUCCUUAGUAGUCGGUUUUUUUUUCUUUUGUAUGCUGGAGGCGGUAAAUUGUGUAAAGUAUAAAUGUAUUGUCAACUAUUUUUUCCUAUUUAGUUUUGUUCUUCCGAUGUGUAAAAGGCAUUGCGAUUGCUCUUCAUUGUAGGUGCAUGUAGUUUCGACGGGAAAGUGUCGUGUUUAUAUGUCCAAAUGUUAAAUCGAUACUUAGAAUUUGAACACAAAAAGAUGAAGCUUAAUAAAAUGAAACUUUAAUUGUACAGUUGGUGUCAUGAAGUUUGCAGUUGGGAUUAUAAACUAUAUUGAUCAUUUGUAGCCUCUUCGUGAAUUGACAGGCUUAUGGCUUCUAUAAUUAAAACGCUUUUCGUCCACUAUUGAUAUUCUUCUGUGCUUUUUAGCACUACAAUGGCUGCCUACAACAUAUCCACGUUAAGUAAAAUAUACAGAAUGUUACUUAUAAGUAAUAAGUUUUUAGGUUUUGCAGGAUACUGUUAGUGUUAGUUUGUAGUUUUAAUUUCAUGGGGCAAGAAAGAUAUUACAGUUUCUUGUUAUCUUUUAUAAUCUUACCUUUCAUCCUUUCGGGGUCAUUAAAUAAGUGCCAGUUGAGAAUUGAGGGCAAUGUAAUUGACUAGUCCCUUCCCGCAAAAUUACAGGCCUUGUACAAGCUUUCAUUAAAGAACGAAAUCGAAGAUACAGAAUAGGAUGAUGCUGGAACGUGAUCUGAGAGAGAAAAGAAUUGAUUACAGUUCCAGGGGUCGUGUUGGGUCUCUUUUUGGAACUAUCGUCAGUAUCAGUAGAUGGCAGGAGUAAACGUUUCACUGUAUUUAGUUUCAUCUUAUGGUGUUCAAAUCUGUCAAUUCAUUCGACGAGACCCGCCUUGCAACACUGCGGUCAUGUAUCAAUACAUGUAAUUAAAAACUUUUCCUUGAAACAGAGAGAGGAGGGGAGAUUUGCAAAACAUUACAAAACGUUUCAAAAGAUUCUCUUGCCUAAACCCAUACAAGCACAACUUCACACGUAUGUAUACACUUGUUUACACAAAUGUUUACUAGGACAUAUUGCAGCUAUUGUACAUACGUGGAAGCCGAUAUGGACAUAUCUGCUCUCACACAGACACUCGCACGCACAUAACUGCACACUUGCUUACAUACAGAAAUGCGUAGAAUAUUUUAACUCUCUCAAAAAGGUAUUUGUACUUUGUUAUGGACCAGUACUUCAGUAUAAAGAUCUUAAAUUUCAAAAAGAAAACCUACAUACAUACAUGCAAACAUACAUACAUACAUACAUACAUACAUACAUACAUACAUACAUACAUACAUACAUACAUACAUACAUACAUACAUGCAUGCAUGUAUGCAUGCAUGCAUACAUACAUACAUACAUACAUACAUACAUACAUACAUACAUACAUACAUACAUACAUACAUACAUACAAACAUACAUAUACAAGUGUAAACAUGAUAACCGGAUAUUGUUGUUUGGGACGUGUGGAAGAUUUCAAACAGAAGAGAACUUGCAUAGAUACAGUAAAAGUAAAUGGAUCACCGCCGCUUUCGAUUUGUAUUCAAUAGUUCGAUCAACUGAAGUUCUUGGUCAUUGGAUUAUCGUAUAAAUGGCUGAACAUUCCACAGACACAUGUAUCCUUAAAGACAUUUUCAAACAUAAUUAGUGUGACACAGCGUGUGACACAGUGUAUGACAGCGUGUGACAAGGCUAGACUUUUGAAGGCUUCCGUAUAAUAUCAGUCACAAGGAUCAGUAAUCCUAAGGCUAUGGCGGUUGCCUAAGAUGUUACUCGGUUGUAAUUUCACGCACAAUACUAGACUAUGAUAAAAGAGUUAUUUUCUAAGAUACAUUAGUAUCUAUCUGAUUUAUUGCCAAUUUAUUUCACUUAAAAUCAUUUCACAUAUGGGCGUAGGUGUGGACGUUUAAUUAUGGAGUUUGCACCGCAAACACGUUGUUCCGGUUGCAAUCCUACUGUACACCUCCCUGGGAAGUUUCAUCUUCUAUAACCUCGAAAUGGCCCAAUCCUUAUUAAUGUAAUAAGAUAGGUGGAAAUUGUACGGAAACCUGGCUGAUGGACCGUAUUUUUUCUUGCCUGGUAGACUCAAUCCAUCUCUCGGUUUAAGACAAUCUCCUAGCUAUUGGCUGUCUUUAGCAGAAUCAAUUCUGUUGCAAGUAUUCGAACCCGAACUCCGAUCUAAUUAUAGUUCCAACAUUUUUCUUUACCAGUCUUUCAUGAGCGCUUCUCUAUUUCUUAUAACUAAACGUUAAAAAUCCUAUAUUUUUCAGCGUAUUUAUGUAUCAUCAAAUUACUACUUACCUUUAGUCAAUACGAUUACAAUCACAUACUCUAGUUACAUGGAACUAUACAAAGUGGAAUUACUAUUUGACAUAUGUUAUAUUUUGAGAUAUUUAGCAUUAACCCAACACAACACUGAGUAGAGAGUAGACACUAUUUCCAACUUUAACGGAAUUUACUUCUCAUUUUGCGCUUCCCAUUUGUAAUAUGAGGGAGUCACUUUACCUAGACGUUCGACUGAUUAGAAACAGCAACCAGAUUUCAAAUGACAUGCUACUGUGUUUGUUUGUUUGUUUUUUUCUAUGUAAAGAAUACAUUCGACAAUGUAGGCCUAGAUAUACUAGCUCUGAAAUAUAAAAUAUGAUCUCGCAUGUAGUCCUUUGCAUUCUGAGUUCAAAUGCUACUGGGGUCGACUUUCCCUUUCAUCAUUUCGACGUUGAUAAAAUAAGUAUCAGUCAAGUGCUGGGGGCAAUGUAAUCGACGAGCUUUCUCCCGCUAAAUUCCAGGCCUCAUACCUAUAGUAGAAAGCGUCCGAUAAGGCGGCGAGCUGGCAGAAUCGUAAAAGUGUCGGAACUGCCUUGCAAUAUAUCAUCAAGUUGCUAACGUUAUGAGAUCAGAUCCCACAGACGUCAAUUUCGCCUUUAAUCCCUUCGGGAUUAAUAAAACAGAAUACCAGUCAAACGCUAGGGUCGAUGCUGUCGACUAACCUCUUCCCUCUAUAAUUGUUGGUCUUCCGCCUAAGUUAGAAACCCUUAAUCCUUGCAUUGAACAAAUCAUCAUGAGAUAUUUAUUUGAGGCUAUUAACUUCUUGGGUUGAAAUUCUACUGGCGUUAGAUUUACCAUUCAUCUUUCAAGGAGGUUGAUAAAAUAAUAAGCACCAAUCAAAUACUGGGCCCGUUUCAACCUACAAAGCCAUCAGUCCAAAUUUAUGCUUUGUGCCUAUACUGGAAGUGAUAUUACCAGCGUUGGGCCAAAUAUAUUGCAGUAUUUAGUUGCACCCUUUUACAUUCCAAGUUCAAAUCCCGCUGAAAUCAACUUUCCUUUUCAUCCUUCCGAGGCCGAUAAAAUAAAUACCAGUUAAGUAUUUGGAUCGAUAAAAUCGACUGUUCUUUUCCUCCAAAAUUCGUAAUCUUGUAUCCUACAUAUGCUAAAUACUAAUACUAUUUCAUACGCAUUGUUUAGUGGUUAGGGGGUACUCGGUUCAUGAUCGUAAGGUCGUGAGUUCGAUUCCUGACCGCGCGUCAUGUCGCUUGAGCAAGACACUCUAUUUCCAGUUUCUCCAGUCCACUCAGCUGGCGAAAAUGAGUAGUACCUGUAUUUCAAAGGGCCAACCUUGUCAUACUCUGUCAUGCUGACUCUCCCUGAGAACUAUGUUAAGGAUACACGUGUCUGUGGAGUGUUCAGCCAUAUGUAUAUUAAUUUCACGAGCAGACUUUUCGUUGAUCGGAUCAACAUUAAUCCUUAUCAUCGUAACCGACGGAGAGCCAGUUCUUGUUGCCGUUUACUUAGUAGGUCGACAGACUGGCAAAAUCGUUAGAGCGUCGGACAAAAUGCCUUACAGCAUUUAGUUACGAUCACUUACUUUUACAGUUCAAUUCCCAAAGAUGUCAGCUUUGCCUUUCCUCUUUCCAGGGUCGAUAAACUGAAAGGCCAGUGAAUAACUGAAGUUAAUGUAAUCUACUAUAUCCACACCAUAGAUGUUAGGCCUUGUGGCUAUGUAAGAAAUCAAUAUGAAGCACAGACUUUACUUUAUAGGCGCAGACGUGGGUGUAUGGUAAGAAGUUUGUUUCCCAACUACAUACUUUCAGGUUCAGUCCCACUGCGUGGCACUUUGUGCAAGUGUCUCCUACAAUAGUCCCGGGAUCGAACAAAGCAUUGUGAGUGGAUUUGGUAGACGGAAACUGAAAGAAGGCUGUAGAAUGGUACGUGGGUGUAUGUGUGUAUGUGUAUGUAUUAUUCGUUUUAUUAUUAAUUUACUUCUUUCAGUCAUUUUGACUGCGGCCAUGCUGGAGCACCGCCUCAAAGAGUCUUAGUCGAAGCAAUCUACCCCAGGACAUAAUCUUUGUAAGCCAAGUACUUAUUUUAUCGGUCUCUUCUGUCGAACCGCUAACUUACGGGGACGUAAACACGCCAGUAUCGGUUGUCAGCGAUGAUGGAGGAACAAACACAGACACAAAGAUACACACACGCGCAGAAAUAUACCUACAUACAUAUCUAUAUCUAUAUCUAUAUAUAUAUAUAUAUAUAUAUAUAUUUGAGUAAUGGAAGAACCUUAUUUCACAUUCAUCUUUUACCAUAUUCAACAAACACACAUAUAUAUAUAUAUAUAUAUAUAUAUAUAUAUAUAUAUAUAUAUAUAUAAUAGAAAUACAUAAAUCCGGGGGAGAAGCACACUCUAAGAUGUAGAGUAGUUAAUAUUAUAAUGGUGGAGGCCGGUUUAUGGUGUUGCCCUAUGUCCCCUUUCACCUCUACAGAGACGACACCUUGGCCAUUUCUAAUGAGGCAAGUGGCCAUACACUAGACAGGCUUAGGAAAGAUUUAAUCAGCACGCUUGCCUCCAUACUACCGACACCACCAUCACCACCCCAAACGACGCCAACACUAACACCACCAGCAACAGCGCCAACUCUAUCAGUGACAACACCACCGGCGGCAACAGCAACCACAGCAGGAGAAACAGUACCAGCAACAGCAGCACCUACAACAGCAAUGGGCGCACUGAAAACACGCGCCCACAUAAAUACGUGGGAUAUACUGGGAAUUCUUUAAAACAGCGUUUUUCCAAUCAUUUGUGCUCUUACAGAGUCCUGGAAAGGAGAUACGUAACAUCGCUGGCCAGCCAUGUCUGGCAACUAAGAGACGACGGGAUACCAUAUUCGAUCGCAUGGAAAAUACUUGAGAACCCAGGCCCCUACAUCAACGGAACGAAAUGUUGCAAGUUAUGCAUUGCCGAACGGGGUUUUUCGGAUCAUGUUUUGGAAUCCGCAAGGCGAUGCCACAGCUGGCAGCCAAUAGCCAAGGCCAAAAGGGAGACAAUAAUUUAUCUUCAUGGUUUUUUGGUGAUCGCAAGAAGGCGGUGCGGCGAAGCUCGAUGGCCAAUGGCUAAAGGAGAUAAUCACCUCGUGUUUACCCUUAUAGCAGGGUAUUUCUCCCUUCAUAUUUUGAAGAGGUCUUAGGCCAGCAGUGUUUUGGAGUCUGAAAAUUCGCCAUAAGGCCAAACUCCUUAUGAGCGAGAAACCCAGGGUAACCCGAUAAAUUGGUCAACCCCAUUAUAAUAUAUAUUUACAUACAUACAUACAUACAUACAUACAUACAUACAUACAUACAUACUUACAUAGACGCAUGCAUACAUACAUACAUACAUACAUACAUACAUACAUACAUACAUACAUACAUACAUACAUACAUACAUACAUACAUACAUACAUACAUGGUGACUGCCCCCUCGUUAUCGAGUAUGGCCAUUGCACGAAUCUUAAUUAAUGUUGUUAUCGUGCAAUGCCUGUGCAAGAAGAUUUUUUUUAAAGUGAAGAAAGGCUGUGCACUGAGUCAAUCCCACUCACUAAGCAACAGCAGCCAUAAUCCGAAAAGAAGAACAAGUCAACAUCAUCGGUAACCACUGAGCCGCAGGUUUUAUGUUAGAGUUAUCCCAGUUACCUGAGUUACCUUCUCCUAGAAGGAUGCCCUAACAAAGGCUAGGAGUCCUUCACUCCCAAUGGUUUAACCGCGCGAUCGGGUAUUCAGUCCGAUUAUUUCUAUGUCCCCGCGCAUGAUACAGCCUUAAGAUAUUUAUUGGAUGGCCGUUGACUUUCAAGAGUUCCUCCGCCCUUUGACGGGUUUUGUUUUUCAUCCCGCAGGGUGUCCAAUAAACACCCUCCUCACCAAGCAAGCUUGGUGGGGUUGCCGGUUAGGUCACCGACGACCCGACCAUGCAACAGGUUGUACUGGGUUACAUACAUAUAUGACGGGCUUCUUUCAGUUUCCGUCUACCAAAUUCACGUACGAGGAUUUGGUCGGCCCAAGGCUAUAGUAGAAGACACUUGCCCAAGGUGCCACGCAGUGAGACUGAACUCGGAACCAUGUGGUUAGUAAGCAAGCUUCUUACCACUCAGCCACGCCUGCGCUUAUGUAUGUAUGUAUGUAUGUAUGUAUGUAUGUAUGUAUGUAUGUAUCAUGUUGUGCUCUGUUUGUCCCUCACUACCACUUGACAACCGGUGUUGAUUUGUUUACGUCCCCGUAGUGUAGCGGUUUUCUGCAAAUUCUCAAAAUCUCUCGUGGAAGCGCCAUCCAACCAAAAUGCAAAUAUAUGGGAAACUACCACCUGUGUCAUCUCUUGUGAAAGGUAGGAGAGUCCAGUUUGCUGGACAUUGUUGUAGAGCUGAAAAAGAGGUAAUUUCUACUCUUCUCUUCUGGAAGCCAUCUACUCGCAAUACCAGAGGGCGCACACUCUCCUACCCUGAUGUAAUCUCCAGGGAUGCAGGCAUCCAGCAACAUGACCUCCGUAAUGCCAUGAUGGACCGUGAAGUCUGGCGUAGCAUGGUAAAUUCCAUUGUCUCGACCACGGUCGAACAAUGAUGAUGAUGAUUUCUGCAAAAGUGACCGACAUAGUCAGUACCAGCUUUUGAUAAAAAUAAUACCGGUGUCAAUUCAUUCGAUAAAACCCUUCUAGGUGGUAACCUUAACAUAGCCGCACUCAAAAUGACUGAAGCAAAUAAUAAAAGAUAAAUGAAAACAUGUAAUACGAUAUCCACUCCAUAGACUUUUAGACCUAGUGGCUAUAUAAAAAAUCAAUGCUAAUUCUUUCAAUCUUCCAAACUUGUAAAUAUUUGUACCUAACCAAGAUUUUGCCCUAUCAAACGGCUCUUCGUAAAUUAGAUCAACUUAGUCCAAUAAAGUUCAUUACAGGCGUGUAUUUUUAGUAACAUAAAUCGUACAAAAGUUAAUUAUUAUUAAUAAAUAUACGGGGAUAUUGUUUCGUCCUAAAUUUACUCUAUUUAUUUUUUAAUAUUGCUUCUGAAGUGUAUGGUUUUUGUGUUCGUUUUGUUUUUUAUCUUUAAUUUGUUUCAAAUAAAUAAGAUAUAAAUAUCAAAUUGAAUUGAGAGACAAAAUAAUAUUUUUGCUAUGAUUACUAUAUGCAUGUGCAUUUGUCGAAGCUGGUAUUUCGACUUCAAAAGGAAUAUAUAUAUCAGAUGCUAUUCUCUAAAUACAUAAUACGGUGACUUGUUUCUGAAAAUGAAAAAAAAUCCAAUAUGAUAUUGCUUAUAUAAACCAAUAAAUAUAUUUUUAUUAUUAUUGGCCGCUAUGAAUGAAAACGUGUAUGUAUGUAUGUAUGUAUGUAUGUAUGUAUGUAUGUAUGUAUGUAUGUAUGCAUGUAUGUAUGUAUGUAUGUAUGUAUGUACGUAUGUAUGCAUGCAUGUAUGUGUGUAUGCAUAUGUGUAUGUAUGUAUACAUGCAUGCUCUCACACAUACACAUAGACACACGAAGAGUGUACGUUCACAUAUAUAUAUGUGUGUGUGUGUGUGUGUGUGUGUGUGUGUGUGUCUGUCUGUCUGUCUGUCUAUCUGUAUGUAUGUAUGUAUGUAUGUAUGCAUGCAUGUAUGUGUGUAUGCAUAUGUGUAUGUAUGUAUACAUGCAUGCUCUCACACAUACACAUAGACACACGAAGAGUGUACGUUCACAUAUAUAUAUAUGUGUGUGUGUGUGUGUGUGUGUGUGUGUGUGUGUGUGUGUGUGUGUGUGUGUGUGUUUGUGUGUGUGUGUGUACACGUAAAUGUUUGUAUUAUGCAUGUAUGCCUUUAUAUGGAUAUAUAUGUUCUCAUUCGCAAUUCACGCCCAAACAAGCAUUCAAAUGUAUAAGUAUGUAUAUUUCUGUGUAUAUGUAUGUAUGUAUUGUAUAUAUGCAUAUAUUUUAUGCAUGUCUGUUUAUACGUAUGCAUGCUCACACACAAACGCAGAUAUAUGGGAGUGUACGUUCACAUAUGUGUAUAUGUCUGUAUAUAUUUAUGUGUGUGCGUGUGUCUAUAUACAUACAUAUAGGGGUGAGAGGUAGGUAGAUAGAUAGAUAGAUAGAUAGAUAGAUAGAUAGAUAGAUAGAUAGAUAGAUAGAUAGAUAGAUACAUUCAUGCAUAUGUGUAUGUAUACAUGUAUAUAUAUAUAUAUAUAUAUAUAUAUAUAUAUAUAUAUAUAUAUAUAUAUAUAUAUAUAUAUAUAUUUACAUGAAUACCUAUAUGUAUAUAUUAUGCAUGCAUGUGGAGGCACAAUGGCCUAGUGGUUAGGGCAGCGGACUCGCAGUCGUAAGAUCGCGGUUUCGAUUCCCAGACCGGGCAUUGUGAGUGUUUAUUGAGCAUAAACACCUAAAGCUCCACGAGACUCCCUCAGGGGGGGGGGUGAACCCUGUUGUACUCUUUCAUCACAAAUUUCUCUCACUCUUUCUUCUUGUUUCUGUUGUACCUGCAUUUCAAAGGGCCAGCCUUGUCACACUCUGUGUCACGCUAAAUCUCCCCGAGAACUACGUUAAGGGUUCAUGUGUCUGUGAAAUGCUCGGGCACUUGCACGUUAAUAAAUGAGCUGCGACGUGCCAAGCUGUAUCGGCUCCUUUGCCUUUCCCUUGGAUAACUUGGACAUGUUUUUUAACAUGGUCUCUAAUUAUUCAAUGAAACUAUGUGGGUAAAAACUAUAUGGAAGCGUUUCGAAUGGAUUAUACCUGAACUUCAAUGACCCAUUCUUGCCAACUUUAUGUCACACCAUUUCUCUAAACUAUAAGUAAUUACAUUAAAAGUGCCCAUCUCUGUUGCCUAUUUUCCACAGACACCCUGAUUUAACAUGUAAACUACAUUGAUCUAACACUGGGAAUAUUCAUUGUCGAUGGCAACGGAGGUCCUUUUAUGUACGUAUGUAUGUAUGUAUGUAUGUAUGUAUGUAUGUAUGUAUGUAUGUAUGUAUGUAUGUAAUUAUGUAUGUAUGUGUUAAUAAAGUGUAAUAUAUUAAUAUAUAUUAAUAAAACUCCAAAAUAAGCGUUGUUUUGAAUAACUAUAUAUACGUAUAUUCCCUUGUUAUAUUUCCAUAGGGAGAUUGAAUAUACGUUUAUCAGACAGUGUAUUAGAUUUAAUAUAUAUACAUAUAUAUACAUAUAUAUACAUAUACAAGCCUUCUGACACAUACUUAGAUGCAUGUCCACAUGACUAUAUGUAUGUAUGUAUGUAUGUAUGUAUGUAUGUAUGUAUGUAUGUAUGUAUGUAUGUAUGUAUGUAUGUAUUUAUGUGUGUGUACGUACGUACACAUGUAUGUAUGUAAAGGAAACGAGAAAGAGAAAGAGGGAGAGAAGAGAAAGAAAGAAAGAAAGAAAGAAAGAAAGAAAGAAAGAAAGAAAGAAAGAAAGAAAGAGAAGUGGCGUACUUGUUUAGCACUUUAGGCAAGUGGCUUCUACAGAAGCCCCGGAGCAACCAAACUCUUGUGAGUAGAUUUGGUAGACAGAAACUGAACGAAACUCCUUAUAUACAUAUAUAUAUAUAUAGAGAGAGAGACGUGUAUGUGUGUGUGUCCGUUUGUCUGUCCACCACCACCGGUGUUCGUGCGUUUACGGCCCCGUAACUUAGCGGUUUAGCGAGAAAAUAGACCGAGAGAACAAGUACAGGCUUUCGGACAUUGCCUGGAAAAUGGUGGCCUUCAGUGAAGCUAUGGCAUUAUGAAGAUGACGAUUAGUCUCCUUUUCAACAGCGCUUCACACAUAGUAGUCUAUGGAGUUCAAAUCUGGCGAGUUUUGAGGCCACAUAUUGGGUGUUACAUAAUCGUAAAGAUUGUCUGACAACCAUUCUUGGGUGACUAGGGCUUUGUGAGAAGAUGCUGAAUUUUGUUGAAACACGUAUGGCCUUCCAUUGCAUACUUCUUCAAUCCAGGGCUUGAUAACAGUUACCAGUACCUCAAUGUAUCCAGCAGCAUUAAUUCGAAGACUCUGUGAAAAAAGUGGAGAGGCAUCACAUUACCUUCGCUACUCACCACUCCAAAAACCAUCACAAUGGCUGGAAAUUUCGUGUGCAUCACUCUGAGAACUUCAGAAGAAUUUGCGCAUAACCACCUGUCAUUUCUUCUGUGUCUUCUUGCUGAAAGUUUUUCGUCAGAGAAAAACCAAAGCAUGCCUUGUUCAUGAGGGUUUUUCACUUUGUUAAAUAACCGUUUUGAACGGAUAAGACAGUUUUCCUGUGUCUUUACAGACACAAAUUGGCCUGCCUCAUUACAUAGGGCUUGUAUCAAAUGUCACGAUGUACCACAGUUCUGAUAGUCCACUCUGACACCCGAAGUUCUUUAGCAAUGGACCUCAUUGAUCUUCUGUGGUUUUCAUCGAUAAUGUUUUGAACAUGUAUAAAUUCCGGUGUACUUUUAGUGUCUGAGCGUUGAGAAUGUUUUUCUUUUCUCUUUGAUACAGGGGAAACAUUACCAUCACAUGCCUCCAAUUCCAACCGAAUUUUGUGUACAAAUGAUCUUGCAACAUUUAGAAAGUUGCUAAUUUCUAAAUCACUGUGCUUUGCAUGUAUAGCAACUAUGACUGCAUGUCUUUUCAUUUCUUAAGUUACUAUGAUAUCUUGAAACGGUAAUCUGAAGGGAAAAAAAUGAUACAUUAAACAAUUUGAAGGUGUAAUGAACUGAAAACGAAAUUUCCUCAAAUACCUUUGCACCCUGUAUAUAUAUAUAUAUAUAUAUAUAUAUAUAUAUAUAUAUGUGUGUGUGUGUGUGUGUGUGUGUGUGUAUGUAUAUAUAUAUAUGUGAAUAUAUAUAUACAUACAAGAAUAUAAAAGACUAUAUAUGGGUGAAUGGGUGCGUACAUGUGUAUAAAUAUAUAUGUAUGUAUAUAUAUAUAUGUGUAUGUAUAUAUAUAUAUGUGUGUGUGUGUGUGUGUGUGUGUGUGUGUGUGUGUGUGUGUGUGUGUGUGUGUGUGUGUGUGUGUGUGUGUGUAUUUAUAUAUAUUAAAUAAAAUGAGACAACAAAGCCAAGGCUGUGUGGAAUUUUCAGGACAGUUAUAAAGAGAAAUUUAGUCUACAGAAAGUUAGUCUACAGAAACAGCUGUAAGACUAACUUUCUCUUCAUAAAUGUCCUGAUAAUUCCACACACCUUUGGCUUUGUUGUCUCAUUUUAUUUAACGCAUUCAUGCUCAUACAAGACCUGCAUUAGACUCCUCGCUCGUAUUAUUAUCGAACCGAGAGUUUAACUACGGUCCUUCAAAAGCACUUACAUAGCAUUACCUUCUGGAUACCAAUACCUCUCUCAUAUAUAUAUAUAUAUAUAUAUAUAUGUGUGUGUGUGUGUGUGUGUGUGUGUGUGUGUGUGUGUAUGUGUGUGUGUAUGUAUGUAUGUAUGUAUGAUAGAUAGAUAGAUAGAUAGAUAGAUAGAUAGAUAGAUAGAUAGAUAGAUAGAUAGAUAGAUAGAUAGAUAGAUAGAUUGGUGGAGUUAAACGCAGGUGUUAUUAAAAUUAUUUUACUUCCGACAUAUGUUUCGAAGGCAACAUUUGUAUUAUUCCAGAAGGAAUAAAAUUGGUGUAAAGCAAUGCAAUCUUCUACGCAGUCAUCAUAUUCUGUUAAAAUGUCUUAUUGGUGUGUUUGGUUUCUUUCUUUCCCUGAUGAGAAGAUUGCAUUGUUUUACACCAUUUUAUUCCUUCUGGAAUAAUACCAAUGUUGUCUUCAAAACAUAUGUCGGAAGUAAAAGAAUUUGAAUAACAUCCGUGUUUAACUCCACUUAUUUAUUUAUCUAUAUUAUACAAAACAUUUCACCUAAAUCUGGAGUUUCUACUGUUAUAAGAAGGCUGUUACAUCCUUGGUACUUGUGCGAAUUUUUGCUACCCUGGUAACUGUUUAUUUAUUUUUCUCCUGUUAUUUGUAAACACUGAAAAAACACAGAUACAUACACACAUGUUUGAAUGUAUGCUUGCAUGCAUGCAUGUAUGUAUGUAUGUAUGUAUGUAUGUAUGUAUGUAUGUAUGUAUGUAUGUAUGUAUGUAUGUAUGUAUGUAUGCAUGUAUGAGAAUGAGUACUCAACAUCGCAUUGGUGGAUAAUAUUUCCGUCUACUAAAUCCACUCACAAGGAUUUGGUCAACCUGAAGCUAUAGUAGAAGACACUUGUCCAAGCCCCCAGGCGGUGGGACUGAACCCAGAACCAUGUGGUUGGGAGCAAGUUUCUUACCACAGAAAACAAAUACGAGGAAAAGUACAAGCAUGGACACCAAUCUCCCCUCUUCGUCGUGCAGCACGUACAUGUUACUGACCAAUAUAUAAUAUUGAUAUACUAACAAUAACAUUGGUAACACAUUGUGAGUACACCGCUCACACACACCUCACACACACACACACCUCACACACACACACACCUCACACACACACACACCUCACACACACACACACCUCACACACACACAUACACACAUACGACGGGCUUCCACUCAGUUUUAUACUGACAAGGUAUCGGUCAGCCCGAGACAAUAGUAGAAGAUUUUAGCUCAAGUUGCCGUGUAAUGGAAAUGAAUCCGAAACCGCGAGAUUGCAAACCAAGCUUCUUAACCAUACAGUUAUGUCAACUAGGAAGAUCCUCAGAGCAAUACAUUUUUAAAAAUACCAUUAAUCAUAUUCAGUCCUGUUUAGCAUUACAGACACUUUAUAAAUUCCGCCAUUGUUUUAAUUCCAUUGCUCAGUUCCUGUAAAUAUCGAUUGCUUUUCAUUCCUUACAGAACACCUCUAUUGUCUGGGGGGAAUGAUAAAAUUCCCCCUGACAUAGUUCGCUUAUUCAUUACCUUAUCAAUUAGUAUUACAUUUAGUUGAGUUGUUACAUUAUUAACGGUGACCUGUUUGAACAAACAAUUCCUGCAGAAUUAUAUAUCGCUUUGUUGUUUCUCGCUUACGUCUGUCAUUUCUCGUUUAUUUUCAUCCCAAUCUUCUCGAAUGUUCUCCGAUAUCUAACGUCUGUUGGGAUUUUUUUUUCACCUCAUCUCUUUAGGAUAUUUUCAUACGUUUCCUAACCAAAUAAUUAUCAAUUUCGUUUACUUCAUCACACGUCCAAACUGUCUUCUUUACAUCUCCACGUAGCUUGCUGCAUUUCUAUUCAGCCUUUGAUACGAUUUGUUCUUUUUCUCCUAUUCUUGUUCUAUCAUAAUUAAUUCAAUCCCUUUAGUGGUUUUUGUUUUCUCAAUACAUAAUACUGAUUGAUUCCGCGCUAUUUUUCUCAUUUGCUUUCCAUAAUGUUUGUCACUGUAAUGUUUAUCUUUCCUGACAGUUAUUUCCUUUAAACCAUCUUGUGUUUCUUCAUCUCUCAUCGUAAUUUUAUCUGCAGCCAACAAGGACAGCUUCUCUGUGUUUGUGUGAUCCAUCGACCAGCUAAAAAAAUAGCAACCAAUUUCUCACACAAGUUAUACCAUACGUAUUAAAUAAAGAAUCGAUUUUUCUCCUCGUUUAUUUGUUGAUUUAGUAAGUAGGGGCUAUGCUUAUGGCCUUUGCAGACCUUUGGAGAUCGGUGGGAUUGAUGCAUUUCAUAUUCGCCUUAGACAUUUGCAAAUCGAUAGCUACAAGAAAAAUACGGCCGGGGAUUGCCUAGUGUAAGGCCUAGAAUGAGGUGGAGGGAAUAUAAGUAAGGGGAGCACGAGUCAGGAUCACCUGAGUGAAGGUGGCACAAGACCAGCGAAUUCCAAGGAGCAGGGGUCACGGCGGUAGCAGUAGAGAAUGCAACAAGUGUAAACAGCAUUUCUGUGGAUCAAGGGUUGGAGUGUGCUGGUGACCGACUUCACGCGAAUCAGUGAAGUAGCCUCUUUUAGAAUAUAUAAUAUCUAUGUGUGUAGCAACAGUACUGUCCCAGAUGUUGGAUCAGUUCUCUAUAGCGGUCUCACACGAAAUUUAUUGAGUGAAUAGUUUGGGGAUUGGAUGAAGUACUUUCCGAUCAUGAUGAAGAAAGGCAGUCUUUAAAGUGAAGUAUGAUGAGUAUGUGCGUAUGCCGGGCGAUAUCCUCGGUAAUGUAUAAGUGAAACAUUUGUGGUGACUCUGAGGAUUUUAGAUGCGUGUUAAUCAUAUUUAGGAGGUGGAACUGCGGUAUUGUUUUUUGCUAUAUGUAGUAAUUGUCUUUGUAACUUUGAAAGAGAUUCCUUUUCUACAAGGCCCGAAAUUUGGGGUGAGGGGCCCAGUCGAUUAAAUCGACCCCAGUACUCAACUGGUACUUAAUUUAUCGAUUCCGAAAGGAUAUAAAGCAAAGUCGACCUCGGCGGAAUUUGAACUCAGAACGUAUAGACAGACGAAAUACCUAUUUCUUUACUACCCACAAGGGGCUAAACACAGAGGGGACAAACAAGGACAGAUUAAGUCGAUUACAUCGACCCCAGUACGUAACUGAUACUUAAUUUAUCGACCCCGAAAGGAUGAAAGGCAAAGUCGACCUCGGCGGGAUUUGAACUCAUGCAUUUUGCCCGGCAUGCUAACGUUUCUGCCAGCUCGCCGCCUUAAAAGAGACUGAAAGAGAUCGGCAUGGUUCCUUUUUAGAGAAUGUUCUUGUCGUCUCUGCCAAUGGAUUCUGAAUGCAGAGGAAUUAGUCUGCUUUAUAUAGUAUCAUAAUCAGAGUAGCGCAUGGUCUCCCCCAAAGCCCAUCAAAUGUUCAAAAACACACUAAUAUAUAUAAAUAUAAUGUUGGUAAGCUAUAUUGCUUUAAGUACAUAUUGUCUGAUGUGCUGUUGCUGUUAUUUAACUCUAUUAUGAAAUGCCUAUGAUCGAUGACAUUCUAACCAUAAGCAUUACGUCUUUUAGAGUUAUCUAGGACUAUAUUAGCAGUGAUCUUCUACCUUGAUAUUGCCUCGAUAGAAUAACUACUCUCAGAUUUAAAACGCGAAUGUUAUUCAAGUCUAUCUUUACAAGUAUUAAUGCUGUGCUCGUAAACUUUUUAAUGUUACAUACAAAAAAAUAUCUGAACAUUUUUUAACACACAUUAUCCAACUGACUUUGUAAAACACUGAAAAAAUUACGCACAUUUUCCAUGCCACUUUUUUCUACGACACAAAUUAUCACAUUAACUUAUGUGAGCAGAUUUUUACAAAGACUUUUUAUUACAACACAAAUUUCUAAUUAACUUUUGUGUGUAGAUUAUUACAAAAACUUUUAUCUAUGCUCUGCUUUGAUGGAUGUUGUAAAUUAAGAGCUGCCAUAUUCUUAUGUGAAUUCUGCUCUAUUUCAAACUUGUAUUCCCAAAUCCUGUUCCGUAUAAUUGCAAUUGUAUUAUUUUGCCAUCAAAAUUAAGAGGGAUCUAUUUUAUGCUUGUAAUUCAAGAAGAAAAACUUAUAUAUAAUCCAUUAUCGUUGUUAUCUCGACGAACAAUUCUUUUAAUUUCUUACAAAUGAAACUCGAAAUAUUCUCUCUUCAACUUGCUUUUUAAAAUCGUUUUUAAUCGCCAUGUCUUUGUCACCCAAUCUUCCAAACUUCAUAUUUAUCUUUACCAUAAUAUCUUGAUGUCUAAUUCAGACUUCGGUUAAUUCCUUGCUCGCUUAGAUUUCAAUUUAGCCUUUUUUUUUUUUUUUUAUAAUUAGAAUCAUACAUGCAUUAUUUUCUCAAAAUUAUGUACAUCAUUAUGUACUACCAUUUCUAGACGUUUGAACAAAAGUGUCUGCAAGCUUCUUUUAAGUUUGCAGCCUCCUUUUUGAGUCUACAACCGUUUUCAAUCUUCAUAUAAAAAUUGUUAUUUUCCCAUAGAGGAUUAUUGAUUUUGACCUUUUCAGGAUACGAGUUUUGACCUGCUUCUGACCUUCUCGAGAUAUUAGUUCAGGGAUCAAUAUACUAUGUUCUUUUUUUUUUUUUUAUCGAAUAUAUUAACGUUUUAUAGUCUUCGCUAAAAUGUUACAUUCUGCACCAUUUUUUUUUUUCUUGAAGAUGUUUCGGUAUUCUAUAAUCUAUAAAUGUGAAAUCUUAUGGAAGGCUUUGCUGUUUUAUAAGGUGGUUAUACCGUUACCAUAAUUCUUUUUCCCAUAUCACUCCUAUUGAUAGUAUUUCAGCAAUGGAAACUAGACCAAGAUAUUUUUCUACACGCUAUUUCUUCAACUAUUAGUAUUCUAAACUUCGAUACAAUUCCUCUGGAUGUCAUGCGGUUAUGAUCAUCAUCGUUGUUGUUCUUAUUCUUCUUCCUUGUCAUCGUCUCCUUUUUCUUUUCUUUUUCUUCAUUGCCAUUUUAUUCUUCUUUAGCUCUGAUCAAAGUCCAGCUUCACUCAAACAGGCCUGUAGUCAAAGCGUUCUAGUAUGACCAACUCGUCUUAAUUUCAAACAGUAUAUCUAGAAUGCAAAUCUAGCUAACGCAUAAAAAAUCCCUCUUUGGCUUGUAGGUUGUUGUUGUUGUUGUUGUUGUUGUUGAUGAUGAUGAUGAUGAUGAUGAUGAUGAUGAUGAUGAUGAUGAUGAUGAUGAUGAUGAUGAUGAUGAUGAUGAUGAUGAUGACGAUGAUGAUGACGAUGAUGAUGACGAUGAUGAUGACGAUGAUGAUGACGAUGAUGAUGAUGACGACGACGAUAAUGAGUCGACUUUUGAUCAAAAGUAUUUCAGCUGUGACAAUUCGUGCAUAACACCAAAUUCAUUAUCCUGCGUAUCUAUUUUUUAUGACAGUAAGGGUGACAUAUAAAGGAUAAUUGGCUGUUAUUUCAAGUAGGUCGAACGACCACGUAAACACUUCCUCCAUUGAUAUUUCACUUUGCUGACCUUCUCUUUAACAUUCAACUUUUUGUGGAGCACACAUCGACUUUUAAGACACUAUCAUAAUCAAACAGUUUUGUACUUCUAUUACAAGAUUUAUUCCAUUCAUUUCACUAUUUAACAGCAAAUUUUUUAAUGCUUGAUUUUAACAUUAACCGCUUUAAUCACUUUGUGUGAGUUGAUUUCGUAUUGCCUUGCAAACUCUCCAUUUUGUUUUUCAUUCGUUUUGUGUGUGUGUGUGUGUGUGUGUGUGUGUGUGUGUGUGUGUGUGUGCGUGUGUGUGUGUGUGUGUGUGUGUGUGUGUGUGUGUGUGUGUGUGUGUGUGUGUGUGUGUGUGUGUGUGUAAAAUAUUGAUUUUUCUCAUUUUAUUAUAAUUCCUUGGCUGUAAUAUCCUUAUCGAAAUACCCAGCCACAACAGUGACGUGACUGUUAUAAUAAAAUUAUACCUAUAUCUGCGUCCAGUGCGGUGAUAGAUAAGGAUGUUCUUUAGAAGUAAAGGUUUUUGCAGUUUUAGAUUGAGAUAUUUGUCUAGUAUUUUGGGAGACAGUUUGAAGAGAAAAGCAACCAUUCCAAUUUAAAAUCCUUUGAAGCCGAGAUCUUAGGAUAAAAAGACGCUCCAUGUUGCACAUAAAUUUUAUUCUUAAAAACUAAACUUGAAAAUGGUUCCUUCAACUAUCGGGGACGAGCAGGGAUAUAAAAUUACCAAAAGCAAUUAAUUUUAAUUAGGUACUUAAUUACGAGGUGGGGUAUUAAUCAUCUCUCCAAGCAACUUGGACUCAUUGAUGUUAUUUGUUAAACCUGGGUAGUUAACACAAUAAUGGUUUCUAGUUAUAUCAAUUUUAAAAAGGGGAUUAAAAUGAUCCAUCAUGCAGAAAGCAGUACUUAAAAAGUGGACAGUUUUAAUCCAAUGUGACCCAGUGCUAAAUAUGAGUCCAAACGAUUGCACCGUAGAUUAUAUAAACAUUGGAAGAGAUCUGACACAUUUGUAGGUUAAAUAAAAGGCAUUUUUUCCCGUUUCUUUUUCAGUUGCUGCCAUGAAUUGGACUGGUGAGCAUCGCGCUUUCAUUGUGGAAACGUUUAUCAAAACAAACGAUUCUGUAACUGCAACACAAAGAGCGUUCCGUUUGCACUUCAAUCUUGGUAGACACGAUCCCGUACCAGCUCAAAACACGAUCUUGUUAUGGGUUACCAACUUCAGAGCUACUGGAUCUGCAUUGAAACGAAAAUCAACCGGCCGACCUCGCACCGCCAGAACUUAAAGAUGCAAUUCGUCAAGAAAUUAC
rnacentral:lncRNA from 1 species